rnacentral:rRNA from 1 species
CUAAUCUCCCCGUGAAGAAGCGGGAAUAAUUCUAUAAGACGAGAAGACCCCAUGGAGCUUUAAACCCAACUACACCCCCUUCAACCUAACCUUUAAAAUUAUGGGGCCCUGUAUGUUCUGGUUUUGGGUUGGGGUGACCACGGAGCAUAAACUAGCCUCCACAAUGAACAAGACUCCUCUCUUUAUCUAAGACCCACACCUCUAAGAAUUAGCACUCUAACAUAAAAUGAUCCGAUAUUCGAUCAACGAACCAAGUUACCCUGGGGAUAACAGCGCAAUCCACUUCAAGAGCCCCUAUCGACAAGUGGGUUUACGACCUCGAUGUUGGAUC